AUGAAUGAAAUUGAGUGGGGUUGUAGCUGGCCUUCUACCGGGCAUGUGCACACCUCAUUCAACCACCUUCUACACCUCUGUGCACUUCUCAUGAGUUGGGCCGCGUCUGAAAUAUGACAAAGUCCGGCUUGUGUGUUUUAUACAAACGAAUCAUGUUAUAGAAUGUCACUAUCAUGCUUUGAAGCAUAUAAUA
rnacentral:misc_RNA from 1 species